AGUGUUGACCAGCUACCCAACUCAUCUUUCGGGAAUUGCUUCCUCAUAGAUCCCGACCUCCGAUGGGGAGAAGAUACAAUACUGUCAAGAACCAUAGCUUAGAGGCUAAUAGUCCUUAGACAAUGCGACCUGAAACCAUGUAGCCAAUUCAAUUCAAUUCAUUGACAUUACAU